GAUGAACGCUAGCUACAGGCUUAACACAUGCAAGUCGAGGGGAAACGCCAUCGAAAGCUUGCUUUUGAUGGGCGUCGACCGGCGCACGGGUGAGUAACGCGUAUCCAACCUGCCCAUCACUUGGGAAUAACCUUGCGAAAGUAAGACUAAUACCCAAUGACAUCCCACGAAGACAUCUGAAUGGGAUUAAAGAUUUAUCGGUGAUGGAUGGGGAUGCGUCUGAUUAGCUUGUUGGCGGGGUAACGGCCCACCAAGGCAACGAUCAGUAGGGGUUCUGAGAGGAAGGUCCCCCACAUUGGAACUGAGACACGGUCCAAACUCCUACGGGAGGCAGCAGUGAGGAAUAUUGGUCAAUGGGCGAGAGCCUGAACCAGCCAAGUAGCGUGCAGGAUGACGGCCCUAUGGGUUGUAAACUGCUUUUAUAAGGGAAUAAAGUGGGUCUCGUGAGACUUUUUGCAUGUACCUUAUGAAUAAGAACCGGCUAAUUCCGUG
rnacentral:rRNA from 1 species